GGCAGCAGCUAAGAAUAUUCCGCAAUGGACGAAAGUCUGACGGAGCGACGCCGCGUGGAUGAUGAAGGCCGGAAGGUUGUAAAAUCCUUUUAUGACUGAGGAAUAAGCAGUGUGAGAGAAACGCAUUGUGGUGACUGUAGGUCAUGAAUAAGCAACGGCUAAUUACGUGCCAGCAGCCGCGGUAACACGUAAGUUGCGAGCGUUGUUCGGAAUUAUUGGGCGUAAAGGGCAUGUAGGCGGUUCUGCAAGUCUGGUGUGAAAUGCCGGGGCUCAACCCCGGAACUGCGUUGGAAACUGCAGAACUUGAGUCGCUGAGGGGCAGCCAGAAUUCCAGGUGUAGGGGUGAAAUCUGUAGAUAUCUGGAAGAAUACCAAUGGCGAAGGCAGGCUGCCAGCAGAUGACUGACGCUGAGGUGCGAAGGUGCGGGGAGCAAACAGGAUUAGAUACCCUGGUAGUCCGCACAGUCAACUAUGUACACUAGGUGUCCGCACAUGAGUGUGGGUGCCGAAGCAAACGCGAUAAGUGUACCGCCUGGGGAGUAUGCCCGCAAGGGUGAAACUCAAAGGAAUUGACGG
rnacentral:rRNA from 1 species